rnacentral:rRNA from 1 species
ACUCCUACGGGAGGCAGCAGUGGGGAAUUUUGGACAAUGGGGGCAACCCUGAUCCAGCCAUUCCGCGUGAGUGAAGAAGGCCUUCGGGUUGUAAAGCUCUUUCGGCAGGAACGAAACGGUGAGCUCUAACAUAGCUUGCUAAUGACGGUACCUGAAGAAGAAGCACCGGCUAACUACGUGCCAGCAGCCGCGGUAAUACGUAGGGUGCGAGCGUUAAUCGGAAUUACUGGGCGUAAAGCGUGCGCAGGCGGUUGUGUAAGACAGGUGUGAAAUCCCCGGGCUUAACCUGGGAACUGCGCUUGUGACUGCACAGCUAGAGUAUGGCAGAGGGGGGUGGAAUUCCACGUGUAGCAGUGAAAUGCGUAGAGAUGUGGAGGAACACCGAUGGCGAAGGCAGCCCCCUGGGCCAAUACUGACGCUCAUGCACGAAAGCGUGGGGAGCAAACAGGAUUAGAUACCCUGGUAGUCCACGCCCUAAACGAUGUCGACUAGGUGUUCGGUGAGGAGACUCAUUGAGUACCGCAGCUAACGCGUGAAGUCGACCGCCUGGGGAGUACGGUCGCAAGAUUAAAACUCAAAGGAAUUGACGGGGACCCGCACAAGC